UCUCAGACUGCUGUGCUAGCAAUCAGCGAGACUCCGUGGGCGUAGGACCCUACGAGCCAGGUGUGGGAUGUAAUCUCAUGGUGAGCCAUUUUUUUAAGCCGGUCUGAAAAGCGCAAUAUUCGGGUGGGAGUGACCUGAUUUUCCAGAGCUGGUAUACGAUGCCUCUCCAGAAUCACCUUGUUCUUUCUGGAUCUAUUCAGAAUCUGAAACUCCUAGAAAAGAAAAAUGCAAGAUGCAUGAGUGUUGAUGUCUGACCAAACUCCAGGGUAGUGGAAAGAGUGUCCUUUUGCCUCAUAUCACCUUUGCUGAACACAGGUGCUAAAUGGAUGGCAGGUUGAGAGUUGAGACAGGAUCUCACUAUGUUGCCUUGCAUGGACUGGAACUCCUUGGCUCAAGAAAUCUUCUUGCCUCAGCCUCCCAAAUAGCUAGGACUAUAUGCACAUGCUACUACACCUAGUGGAAAAUGAAGCACAGAGAAGUUCAGUGAUGGACCUCAGAUACUACCAGCAGAAAGCAGAAGAGCUAGGAUUUCAACUUAGGAUGUCUGGAUCCACAGUCUGCACUCCUACCCACUAUGCUACACUGCCUCUAACUAUGAGGAAGCAAGGGCAUUUUUUUUUUUCUGGUGACUAAAAAGAUAAGAGUUCAAGUAUGUGGCUCCUGAUAAUCUAACUUAUACAGCCUGGAAAAAUUGAUAGUUACUAUAUCCAGACUGUCUCAUUCAAUUAACAGUUUCUCAAGUAAUCUUCUAGUUACUGUCGUAUUUUAUCUGUAUCAACUUAGCAAACCAAGUCCAAAACAUUUUAUAUGUGUCUAUCUUUCCUGCUGUUCAUAUUAUUGAGUUAGCCAAAUAAAUUCAAUUUUUUUUCUACUGUUUGUUUCUCACAAA
rnacentral:lncRNA from 1 species